rnacentral:tRNA from 1 species
AUUAAGGUAGUUUAAAACAAACAUUGGAAUGUGGCCCCAAAAAUACAUAUUUAUGUCCUUGAUU